GGCUCAGGAUGAACGCUAGCUACAGGGCUUAACACAUGCAAGUCGAGGGGCAGCAUGGUCUUAGCUUGCUAAGGCCGAUGGCGACCGGCGCACGGGUGAGUAACGCGUAUCCAACCUGCCUUACACUCUUGGACAGCCUUCUGAAAGGGAGAUUAAUACAAGAUGUUAUCAUGAGUAAGCAUUUUCACAUGAUUAAAGGUUUACCGGUGUAAGAUGGGGAUGCGUUCCAUUAGAUAGUAGGCGGGGUAACGGCCCACCUAGUCUUCGAUGGAUAGGGGUUCUGAGAGGAAGGUCCCCCACAUUGGAACUGAGACACGGUCCAAACUCCUACGGGAGGCAGCAGUGAGGAAUAUUGGUCAAUGGACGAGAGUCUGAACCAGCCAAGUAGCGUGAAGGAUGAAGGUUCUAUGGAUUGUAAACUUCUUUUAUACGGGAAUAAACGAAUCCACGCGUGGAUUUUUGCAUGUACCGUAUGAAUAAGGAUCGGCUAACUCCGUG
rnacentral:rRNA from 1 species